rnacentral:rRNA from 1 species
GACGAAGGGGGCUAGCGUUGUUCGGAAUUACUGGGCGUAAAGCGCGUGUAGGCGGCUAUGUAAGUCGGGCGUGAAAUCCCACGGCUCAACCGUGGAAGUGCACCCGAAACUGCGUAGCUAGAGUCCUGGAGAGGAAGGUGGAAUGCUUGGUGUAGAGGUGAAAUUCGUAGAUAUCAAGCGGAACACCGGUGGCGAAGGCGGCCUUCUGGACAGUGACUGACGCUGAGACGCGAAAGCGUGGGGAGCAAACAGG